GUGUGCCAGGCCCGGCUGCUCCAGGGCCCUGGGGUGGGUGGGGGGGGUACAAGGCCCCUGCCCUGGUGAGGUGCCUGGAGACAGACAGAAAUUCAGGAGCUGAAUUCCCAGCAGGCACCCUGCCCCCUCGGAUGAAUGGUUGGCCUCGACUGUGCUCAGCUGUAAAAUGGAUCUGGAACCCAAGGCUCCUUACCUUGGCAGAUAAAGAGAUGGAGUUUCGCUCUUGUCGCCCAGGCUGGAGUGCAACAGUGCGACCUUGGCUCAUCGCAACCUCUGCCUUCCAAGUUCAAGCCAUUCUCCUGCCUCAGCCUCCCGAGCAGCUGGGACUACAGAUGUCGGUCGCUACACCUGGACAAACUGUUGUAUUUUUAGUAGAGAUGGGUUUUCACCAUGUUGCCCAGGCUGGUCUCGAACUCCUGACCUCAGGCGAUCCACCCACCUCGGCCUCCCAAAGUGCUGGGAUCACAGGUCGGGCCCUCGCACCUGAUCCCCGUCUUGAUUUAAAUGCCACUCUGUCAAUGAAA